rnacentral:rRNA from 2 species
UGCAGAAUCCCGUGAAUCAUCGAGUCUUUGAACGCAAGUUGCGCCCGAAGCCUUUAGGCCAAGGGCACGUCUGCCUGGGCGUCAUGC